rnacentral:rRNA from 1 species
AUACGUAGGGGGCGAGCGUUGUCCGGAAUUAUUGGGCGUAAAGGGUACGUAGGCGGUUUUUUAAGUCUGGUGUGAAAUUGGUGGGCUCAACCCACCCAAGCAUUGGAAACUGGAAAACUUGAGUCAUGGAGAGGAAAGUGGAAUUCCUAGUGUAGCGGUGAAAUGCGUAGAUAUUAGGAGGAAUACCGGUGGCGAAGGCGACUUUCUGGACAUGUACUGACGCUGAGGUACGAAAGCGUGGGGAGCAAACAGGAUUAGAUACCCUGGUAGUCCACGCCGUAAACGAUGAGUGCUAGGUGUUGGGGGUCAAACCUCGGUGCCGCAGUUAACACAUUAAGCACUCCGCCUGGGGAGUACGUGCGCAAGCAUGAAACUCAAAGGAAUUGACGGGG